rnacentral:tRNA from 1 species
GGAGGGGUGACUGAGUGGUCGAAAGUGGUGGUCUCGAAAACCACUGUACUCGUAAGGGUACCGGGGGUUCAAAUCCCUCCCCCUCCG